GUUAAACAAGUGCUUGAAGGCAGUAUGCUUGGUAAAAGUCAUCGCCAUUCUCUAAUCUUGAGUACCCAGGGACACGAUACACUGCGGAAGGCUGCAGGGACCUCUGCCCAGGAAAGCCAGGAGCCAGAAAAACUUCAUCUCUUUUACAAGAAACAUUGAGAUUCCUGUAAAAUUAAGAAAUCACACAAUUUGAUGGUCUACAUUAUCUAAAGCAAAUGAGACUUCUAUUUGGAACAAAGACUACCUUGUUGGGAAAUGAGUCUGCAAGUUAAAGUGUUUUCUGGAUCCAGUAUCUGCCGGAGGAGCCCCACCUUCUGCUACUAUUAUGUUCUUCAGAUGAGUAGAAGAGAGUGGGGAGGGAGAGAGCAGGAAGAAGAAAGGAAGAAUAAUGUCUUGAAAUUGUUUUCUAAGGAUAAUGGUCUCCAGCUUCGUCAAUGUUCCUGCAAAGGACAUGAUGCUGACUUUGAAGAUGCAAGCUUCCACAUCUACAGCCUCAAGGAAACAAAUUCAGCCAACCAACUGAGGGAGCUUUCCUUGUCCUGCCUCAAGAUGAGAUCACAGUCUGCCCAACACCAUGAUUUAGGCCUUGUGACACCUGGUAUGGAAGACCCAAGCUCAGAUGGAAAAGAAUGGUGUUACUGAGACCCUUCAAGAUUCCCAGUGUAAUUCAAUAAAGAAAAGGCAACACAAAGGGGUUGUAUAGAAUUCGCCACAUUAUGGACCCAUGUCAUAGAGAGAAUCCACGGUGCAUUUGUUAGCUGCAUUUAAAUGACAACACUUUCAGAUCCAAGAUUUAUUUGGGAUAAAAAUUUACCUGGAUGCAAGGCUAUUCAGAAUGAAGAUUAAUGAUAUGGUUUGGCUGUGUCCCCACCCAAACUUCAUCUUGAAUUCCCACGUGUUGUGAGAGGGACCUGGUGGGAGAUAAUUGAACCAUGGGGGCAGGUCUUUCUCAUGCUGUUCUCAUGAGAGUGAAUAAGUCUCAUGAAACCUGAUGGUUUUAUAAGGGGGAAUUUCCCUGCACAAGCUCUCUCUCUGCCUUUUGCCAUCCAUGUAAGACGUGACUUGGUCCUCCUUGCCUUCUACCAUGAUUAUGAGGCCUCCCCAGCCACGUGGAACUGUGAGUCCAUUAAACCUCUUUCUUUUGUAAA
rnacentral:lncRNA from 1 species